GAUGAACGCUGGCGGCGUGCCUUAUACAUGCAAGUCGAGUGGGUUUAGACCCACGGCAACCGGGUGAGUAACACGUAGGUACUUUCCUUGUCACAGGAAUAACCCUCCGAAAGGAGGGCUAAUACCUGAUGUGAUCGCAAGAUUAAAGGGUAUCCGCAAGGAUUACCGGACAAGAAGAGGCCUGCGGCCUAUCAGCUAGUUGGCGGGGUAAAUGCCCACCAAGGCUAUGACGGGUAGCUGGUCUUAUGAGGAUGAUCAGUCACAUGGGCACUGAGACACGGGCCCAACUCCUACGGGAGGCAGCAGUAGGGAAUUUUGCGCAAUGGGCGAAAGCCUGACGCAGCGACGCCGCGUGCGGGAUGAAGGCCUUCGGGUCGUACCGCUUUUAUAAGGGACGAACUUUGACGGUACCUUAUGAAUAAGAGGUUGCUAACUCUGUG
rnacentral:rRNA from 1 species